UGGGGAAUCUUGCGCAAUGGACGAAAGUCUGACGCAGCGACGCCGUGUGAGUGAAGAAGGCCUGCGGGUUGUAAAGCUCUGUCGAGUGGGAAGAAAAACCUAUUGGUGAAUAGCCAGUAGGCCUGACGGUACCACUAAAGGAAGCACCGGCUAACUCCGUGCCAGCAGCCGCGGUAAUACGGAGGGUGCAAGCGUUGCUCGGAAUUAUUGGGCGUAAAGGGUAGGUAGGUGGCCUCGCAUGUCUGGGGUGAAAUCCCUACGCUUAACGUAGGAAUGGCCUCAGAAACCGCGAGACUAGAGUCUUGGAGAGGGUCGUGGAAUUCCCGGUGUAGCGGUGAAAUGCGUAGAGAUCGGGAGGAACACCAGAAGCGAAGGCGACGACCUGGACAAGUACUGACACUCAACUACGAAAGCGUGGGGAGCAAACAUGAUUAGAUACCCCUGUAGUCCCUGAGCGGGCUGGCAAGGCGCAU
rnacentral:rRNA from 1 species